GACCAGACUCCUACGGGAGGCAGCAGUGGGGGAUAUUGCACAAUGGGGGAAACCCUGAUGCAGCGACGCCGCGUGGGCGAAGAAGUAUUUCGGUAUGUAAAGCCCUAUCAGCAGGGAAGAAGAAAUGACGGUACCUGAGUAAGGAGCACCAGCUAAAUACGUGCCAGCAGCCGCGGUAAUACGUAUGGUGCAAGCGUUAUCCGGAUUUACUGGGUGUAAAGGGAGCGCAGGCGGCACGGCAAGCCUGAUGUGAAAGUCCGCGGCCCAACCGCGGGACUGCAUUGGGAACUACCGGGCUGGAAUGCCGGAGAGGUAGGCGGAAUUCCUAGUGUAGCGGUGAAAUGCGUAGAUAUUAGGAGGAACACCAGUGGCGAAGGCGGCCUGCUGGACGAUGACUGACGUUGAGGCCCGAAAGCGUGGGGAGCAAACAGGAUUAGAUACCCUGGUAAC
rnacentral:rRNA from 1 species